GGAGAGGUGACCGAGAGGCCGAAGGUGCGGCACUGGAAAUGCCGUGUACGGUAACACGUACCGAGGGUUCGAAUCCCUCCCUCUCCGC
rnacentral:tRNA from 1 species